UCAGCUGGAAUGCUAACUUAAUUGAAAUCCUGUCAGAGCUAGCAUGCUAAAUACCUCCGAUAUCAUCAAAUAAUUAUAAUAAUGAUGGCACUAACGCCAGUUUUCAGCAUGUGUUGAUGAUGAGGACUGUAUAUGAAGAAGAAAAGACCUGAGGAGACGGAUUUAACGCGCACACAUGCUGAAGGAUGUGGACUAUAGGAUGUGAUGGUAGCAUUAUUAGCGCUGUCCUGCUGCUUAAACAUCCAUCAUCUCGCUUUAUUCUGAGGGAGGGUUGAAACAUGAACCAUCAUGGCUCCCAUUCCAAACUUCAACACCAUGCAUCUCCGUCUGGACUGCGGCUUUGAAAUUGGAACCAACUGAGCCGAAGCAUACGUCCGAGUUCUGUAAGUGUUGUUCAGAGAACGAGCAGAUGUCUGGAGUGAUGUCUGUCAUGGAACCACCUGCCCAGUCACUGCACCUAAACCCUACUGAACUGCUCUGAGAUCAACAAGAAUCUCCAACUAGUGAAGAACAUCUACAUCAACAAACAUUUGUUUGGUCAAAGGAAAUUUUCAGACUGUUACAUUACUGAACAUAGAAGUCUUUUUUGUAUUUCAUUCCUAAUGAUAUUUUUACUGCUCAUAUGACAGAUGUUAUUUCACGCUAUUUUAGACACUUUAGACACAUUCAUUGGGUUGGAAUUAAAUAAAGAAAGUCAAGUCGA